rnacentral:rRNA from 1 species
UACAGAGGGUGCAAACGUUGCUCGGAAUCAUUGGGCGUAAAGCGCACGUAGGCGGCCUAGCAAGUAGGGAGUGAAAGCCCUCGGCUUAACCGAGGAAGUGCUUUCUAAACUACUAGGCUUGAAUACUGGAGAGGGUCGCGGAAUUCCCGGUGUAGAGGUGAAAUUCGUAGAUAUCGGGUGGAACACCAGUGGCGAAGGCGCCUGUCUGGCUGACAACUGACGCUGAGACUCGAAAGCAUGGGGAGCAAACAGG